rnacentral:rRNA from 1 species
UACGUAGGGCGCAAGCGUUGUCCGGAAUUAUUGGGCGUAAAGAGCUCGUAGGUGGCUUGUCGCGUCUGCCGUGAAAGCCCGUGGCUUAACUACGGGUCUGCGGUGGAUACGGGCAGGCUAGAGGCUGGUAGGGGCAAGCGGAAUUCCUGGUGUAGCGGUGAAAUGCGCAGAUAUCAGGAGGAACACCGGUGGCGAAGGCGGCUUGCUGGGCCAGUUCUGACGCUGAGGAGCGAAAGCGUGGGGAG